rnacentral:piRNA from 1 species
UNGAGGUCAGACUGCUAACUCCACUGGA